ACGUGUUCACAGUGUGCAAGUUAUUAAUCAACUGCUACGUGUUCACAGUGUGCAAGUUAUUAAUCAACUGCUACGUGUUCACAGUGUGCAGGUUAUUAAUCAACUGCUACGUGUUCACAGUGUGCAGGUUAUUAAUCAACUGCUACGUGUUCACAGUGUGCAAGUUAUUAAUCAACUGCUACGUGUUCACUUUGUACAGGUUAUUAAUCAACUGCUAUGUGUCCACAGUGUACAGGUUAUUAAUCAACUGCUACGUGUUCACAGUGUGCAGGUUAUUAAUCAACUGCUACGUGUUCACAGUGUGCAGGUUAUUAAUCAACUGCUACGUGUUCACUUUGUACAGGUUAUUAAUCAACUGCUAUGUGUCCACAGUGUACAGGUUAUUAAUCAACUGCUGUGUUCACAGUGUACAGGUUAUUAAUCAACUGCUGUGUUCACAGUGUGCAAGUUAUUCAUCAACUGCUACGUGUUCACAGUGUGCAGGUUAUUAAUCAACUGCUACGUGUCCACAGUGUACAGGUUAUUAACAACUGCUAUGUGUUCACAGUGUGCAGGUUAUUAACAACUGCUAUGUGUUCACAGUGUAUAUGUUAUUAAUCAACUGCUAUGUGUUCACAGUGUGCAGGUUAUUAACAACUGCUAUGUGUUCACAGUGUAUAUGUUAUUAAUCAACUGCUAUGUGUUCACAGUGUGCAGGUUAUUAACAACUGCUAUGUGUUCACAGUGUGCAGGUUAUUAACAACUGCUAUGUGUUCACAGUGUGCAGGUUAUUAACAACUGCUAUGUGUUCACAGUGUACAGGUUAUUAAUCAACUGUUAUUUGUUCACAGUGUGCA
ensembl:lncRNA